rnacentral:ncRNA from 2 species
UUAAAUAUUCAGACUAUUGGUGCAGUUAUAAUAAUAGCUGCUUAAAAGGGAAGUUCGGUGUAAUUCCGACACGGUCCCGCCACUGUAAUGGAUAGAACCUUACGAAUACCACUGUGCUAUAGCAUGGGAAGGUGUAAGGUUUGUUAUUCCUAAGUCAGGAGACCUGCCAGUAGGAUCAACGCUGU